rnacentral:misc_RNA from 1 species
CAAAUUUUGAAAAGUGAAAACUCCGUGUGGAUCCUUCCUCCACACAUGCUUCAACGAUGGCAGUUCGCCCAUAGAUAAUUUUCUCAGCUCAAAUGCUUCAAUAACAUUGAACCCUUCAAGUUGAUAUAUCUCUUGCAAUGAAAUACAAUUAUAUACAUUCAACUCCUCUAAUCUUUGGAAUCUUUCUAAGACAUUUGACGGAAAAACAGUCAUCAAUUUCGAGCAAUCAGAAAUACCCAAUGAUUUUAGUUUACAGAAGGAAUUAGCCGCAAGUUGGCUGUGCCAUAUACUUUUCAUGUCAUUCAUUUCCCGGAGAUUCAAAUUCUCCAAGUUAGAGAAAGCAACCAUUUCAUUGAAGAGAGAUUGAAUUUCAGUAUUGUGAUUCGUCUCUGCGUAAACUUGUUUUGCCAUCAUGUCUGUAUGUGGAACACUGGGGACCAAACACAUCAAUGCACCGCAUUCCUCUAUUUUCAAGUAUCUAAGAGAUUGAAAUUCAAUUUGAUAGCCACUGCAGAAUCUAAUCAAGUUUGGAAGAUGCCAAAGCCCCAGCACAUCCAAUUUAGGGAAGAUUAUCUUAUUCACCCUCUCAUCUUCUUCUUCUAUAAUUUUCUCUGUCAGUAUUAUCUCUUCCAAGGAACUACAAUCCUCAAUAUCAAGUGUUUUGAGCUGCAAAAGACUUUUAACAAUUGAAGUUGUAAAUAAAUACUUCAAUUUGUUGCAACCGCACACACUCAAGCUUUUUAAGUUUGAGUAAGUUGCGGAAAGUUGGUCGUGCCAUAUCUUUUCACAAGUAACUGAGUCUAGUCGAAGAUCCUCCAAGUUGGGGAAAGAAACCAUUCUGUUGAAAAGU